AGAAAUUGGAGAAGGUUAAAUGGGCAAGGACCCAACUUUUGAAAAUUGGUUGCCUAUUUUAGCAACCCCCAUCGUCUCUUCCCUUUCAUUUUCACAUUUCAUUCAAAAAUUUCCCAAAAACCAAAUUAAAGCUUUUCUCUCUGAAUUGGUUCAUCCUUUUUUAUUCUUAAGUUUUCUAAACACAAAUUCCUCUUUCAAUUUCGAAGAAUAAUCAAGUUUUCUUCUUCAAUUCCUUUAUUGUUCUUCAUACAUUCUAGCCCGAAUUUGAUCUUAAACUCACCAUUUUCGUCAAAUCAAGUAAAGUUUCAACUCGAUUGGAAGCCUCUACAAGUAAGGACAAAGGCAAACAAAAGAUUAUUUGAGUUUUGGCUUUGAAGCAAAGCUUGGUCAAGGUGAAUGGUCCAAUGCACUAUGAUUAAUGAUAAAAUCAGUAAGUUAAAAGGGGUAUUAGGUGGUCUAAUCACCUAAUCUAAUUCCCAAGAGAAAUAGCUUGAGUGGAGUGGUGAAGUGAGAAAGCUUGUGAUCCCAAGGCAAAUCAUCUUGUUUGUGCAUGUGAGGUGGUUACUUUGUUAAUAAGGGAUGUCAAUGUGGGUUUAUUUCGAGGGACUAUACUUUAGUUUUUGAUUUGGUCUGUGAUGGACUUUCUAUAGACUAUUUAAGGACUUUUAUAACUGGUUUUUAGAUGUUUUAUUUUGCUUGAAUUGCUACAUGAAUGAUGCUAGAUGUAUGACUAGGCUAUAUGUUGAAUAACAUGCAUGUGCCUUAAUAUUUUGUGGCUUUUGAUACUUAAAA